CAGCAGCCACGGUAAUACGAAGGGUGCAAGCGUUACUCGGAAUUACUGGGCGUAAAGCGUGCGUAGGUGGUGGUUUAAGUCCGUUGUGAAAGCCCUGGGCUCAACCUGGGAAUGGCAGUGGAUACUGGCAAGCUAGAGUGUGUCAGAGGAUGGUGGAAUUCCCGGUGUAGCGGUGAAAUGCGUAGAGAUCGGGAGGAACAUCAGUGGCGAAGGCGGCCACCUGGGACAACACUGACGCUGAGGCACGAAAGCGUGGGGAGCAAACAGGAUUAGAUACCCCCGUAGUCCCUGUCUCUUAUCC
rnacentral:rRNA from 1 species